UCCCUGGUGGCUCAGACGGUAAAGCAUCUGCCUACAAUGCAGGAGACCCAGGUUCAAUCCCUGGGUCGGGAC
rnacentral:tRNA from 1 species